rnacentral:rRNA from 1 species
AGAGUUUGAUCCUGGCUCAGAACGAAACGCUGGCGGCAGGCUUAACACAUGCAAGUCGAGCGCCCCGCAAGGGGAGCGGCAGACGGGUGAGUAACGCGUGGGAAUCUACCCUUUUCUACGGAAUAACGCAGGGAAACUUGUGCUAAUACCGUAUGUGUCCUUCGGGAGAAAGAUUUAUCGGGAAAGGAUGAGCCCGCGUUGGAUUAGCUAGUUGGUGGGGUAAAGGCCUACCAAGGCGACGAUCCAUAGCUGGUCUGAGAGGAUGAUCAGCCACAUUGGGACUGAGACACGGCCCAAACUCCUACGGGAGGCAGCAGUGGGGAAUAUUGGACAAUGGGCGCAAGCCUGAUCCAGCCAUGCCGCGUGAGUGAUGAAGGCCCUAGGGUUGUAAAGCUCUUUCACCGGAGAAGAUAAUGACGGUAUCCGGAGAAGAAGCCCCGGCUAACUUCGUGCCAGCAGCCGCGGUAAUACGAAGGGGGCUAGCGUUGUUCGGAAUUACUGNACGUAAAGCGCACGUAGGCGGAUCGAUCAGUCAGGGGUGAAAUCCCAGGGCUCAACCCUGGAACUGCCUUUGAUACUGUCGAUCUGGAGUAUGGAAGAGGUGANUGGAAUUCCGAGUGUAGAGGUGAAAUUCGUAGAUAUUCGGAGGAACACCAGUGGCGAAGGCGGCUUCACUGGUCCAUUACUGACGCUGAGGUGCCGAAGCGUGGGGAGCAAACAGGAUUAGAUACCCUGUAGUCCACGCCGUAAAC